rnacentral:RNase_P_RNA from 1 species
CACCCUCCGCGACACAGGGAGGAAAGUCCGGGCAGGAUAGGGCGCGGUGGUGGCUAACGACCACCGGGAGUAAUCCCAGGGAAAGUGCCGCAGAAACGAUACCGCCGAUUCGUCGGUAAGGGUGAAAUGGUGCGGUAAGAGCGCACCGCGGUGUUGGUGACAACACUGGCAGGGUAAACCCCACCGCCUGCAAGACCAAGCAGCUGAGCGGGCCUUCGGGCCUCGUACCCGGCCCGGGUAUCAACAGCGGGUAGGUUGCUUUGCGCAGCGGCGCAAGAGCCGGCUGGCGACAGUCGGUCCAGAUAAAUG